rnacentral:rRNA from 1 species
CACGUAGUUAGCCGGGGCUUCCUCCUCAAGUACCGUCAUUAUCUUCCUUGAGGACAGAGCUUUACGACCCGAAGGCCUUCAUCGCUCACGCGGCGUUGCUGCAUCAGGCUUUCGCCCAUUGUGCAAUAUUCCCCACUGCUGCCUCCCGUAGGAGUUUGGACCGUGUCUCAGUUCCAAUGUGGCCGAUCACCCUCUCAGGUCGGCUACUGAUCGUCGCCUUGGUAAGCCGUUACCUUACCAACUAGCUAAUCAGACGCGGGUCCAUCCUGUACCGCAAAAGCUUUGAUACUUCUACCAUGCGAUAAAAGUAUUUUAUCUCGUAUUAGCAUACCUUUCGGUAUGUUAUCCGUGUGUACAGGGCAGGUUACCCACGCGUUACUCACCCGUCCGCCGCUCUUUACCGAAGUAAAUCGCUCGACUUGCAUGUGUUAGGCACGCCGCCAGCGUUCAUCCUGAGCCAGGAUCAAACUCU